CACGUAGGGGGCAAGCGUUGUCCGGAUUUAUUGGGCGUAAAGAGCUCGUAGGCUGUUCGAUAAGUCGGGUGUGAAACCUCCAGGCUCAACCUGGAGACGCCACCCGAUACUGUCAUGACUAGAGUCCGGUAGGGGAGCGUGGAAUUCCUGGUGUAGCGGUGAAAUGCGCAGAUAUCAGGAGGAACACCGGUGGCGAAGGCGGGUCUCUGGGCCGAUACUGACGCUGAGGAGCGAAAGCGUGGGGAGCGAACAGG
rnacentral:rRNA from 1 species